CAAUAAUUUCAGAACCAAGCUGCAGCCAUCUUUAUUGUACACAGAAAGGGAAAAGAAGGCAGGAUGAGAGGCUCCUCUCAAACACCAUAAAACCAGUGGAAACUGCUAACAGCUUCUACUCAGGAACCCACUCAGGAGAGGAGGAAGUCAUUGGUCCCAACUGCCACCCAUAUCAACUACGGCCGCUCUCUUUGUCUUCUCUGAAAUGGGGCUCCGUGUAGGAUUUUGUCCACUAGUAAAAUAAAAAUACUUUGAAAAUCACUUUUAUAUAUGUAAAAUUCCUGCUCUGGUCUCAGAUGUCGCCCUGGUGCCAGCCCAGAUCACCAGUGUUCAGCAGAAAAUCAGACAUCACAGGUCUCGGUUAGGCCUCUGGCAGUAGCUUGUAACAGAGGUCCCAGCUUCUCUUUUUGUAAGUUUUUUAUAGAGGACUUCUGGUGUAAGCUUAAA